rnacentral:RNase_P_RNA from 1 species
UCGGGAGGUCGGGCAAUCGCUCCUUGGUGGAGUCUCGCGUGCGGGAUUUGCCAGGGGGAGGAAAGUCCGGGCUCCUACGAGCAUGAUGGUCGAUAACGUCGACGGGUAGAAAUACCGGGGGAAUGCAACAGAAAGAUACCGCCGGGCCGCAAGGUUUCGGUAAGGGUGAAAUGGUGGGGUAAGAGCCCACCAGAAGGCGGGCGACCGUCCUUCUCGGCAGCCCCAUCUGGAGCAAGAUCCAACAGGGUGAGGCCCUCAGUCCUUGGGGGCCGUGUCUGACUCGUGAUGCGAACACCCGGGUAGAUCGCUCGAGCCGCCGAGCAAUUGGCGGCCAAGAUGAAUGAUUGCCCAUGGCGAUAACAUUGCCAAGACAGAACCCGGCUUACAGACCUCCCGACUUU